UACAGAGGGUGCAAGCGUUGUUCGGAAUUAUUGGGCGUAAAGGGCGCGUAGGCGGUCGUGACAAGUCACUUGUGAAAUCUCCGGGCUUAACUCGGAACGGUCAAGUGAUACUGUCGGACUAGAGUACAGAAGGGGCAACUGGAAUUCUCGGUGUAGCGGUGAAAUGCGUAGAUAUCGAGAGGAACACCGAUGGCGAAGGCAGGUCUCUGGGCAUUAACUGACGCUGAGGAGCGAAAGUGUGGGGAGCGAACAGG
rnacentral:rRNA from 1 species